AGGGUUCAAUUAGAUACCCCUCUUUCUCAGAUCUCUAUCUCAAUUCUCAUUCUGAUUUUCUUCUCAUUCACUAGUUACAACACAGUUCUCUUCUCUCCAACUUCCAUCAUCAUCUCUGCACCUCUCCAAAAUUUCUACGUUGUGCUAGCUCUUCUGCUUCUUCUGCUUCCUCCUCUGUUCUGCCAGAUCUACUAGCUAUCUCAUCCACGUAGUGUUGUGCGCGGUUCGAAUCUGCGGUAGCGACACGAGCAUCCUGUCACCGUCACCUCCACCACACCCGUUGUGGGUUCUUCUCCUUCUUCCUUUAUUUCUUUAUUUGGAUUGUCAUUUAUUUAUCUUCUUUUUUCUGCUAGAUUUUCACGUUUUUACAAGAGGAUAAGUGCCCCUCACCCAUAGCAAAAGGGAUCUUCUGUCCCAGAUCUGCUCGCUGCUCGUGCCUCCUUCCUUCUGCUUUGCACCUUUACUUCUAGUUUACUCUUUAUAGUUUUUUUUUUCUAAUUUUUUGUGCAUUCUAAAUCCUGGUUCUGAUUUUAUUCUUAGGUUUUUCUACUAAUUAAAUUGAUUGUUUUGCUUUAUCGAAGAAGAAGAGAAAGCUCAAUAGAAAAUCUUUUUAGCAUAUUCAAUUCAAUAUCUAAAUCAAUUUGUAAAUUACAAUGUGAGAAUAAUUUUUAGAAAUAUUUUUAUUUGUCAGAAUCAAGUGAUACCUUUUGAGUUUGGAAAGGGGAGCUUAGAGGAUAGGUCAUGAAUCUUGGUUGAUAUUGUGACUAUUAAGCCUACUCAUAUUUUUAAUGUUGAUGAUUUUACUAGUGAAUUUAAUUUGAAGUGGUUUGAGGCUAACAAAACAGAAUCUAUUGGUGUUGAUGUUGUUGGUGUCCUAACAUUGGCAAGUGCUUGUAAGGGCCAUAGUCUCCCCAUGAUGAAUUAUGCAUUUAGUGGUAAUUUUGAACAUAAACUAAAUACUAAUGUUAAUUAGUUAAAGGUCUCAUUGUGUCAUGGGGUUCAAGGGAAGAGAGACGAAGAGCCUGGGACAAAUGGACAAGAAAAAGAAAAUUCAUGUAUUUUUUAGUUCAGAGGUGUCCUAGGUUUCUCGCUUUCUUCUAUCAGCGAAGCUUGUUGUCAGGAAAGCAUGGUGAGAUUACUAAGUGGCUGUCAUUGUCUCUGGGAAAGAGGGAUAAAGCAUUGAUGGAAGAUCCAAUCUAUGAGGAAUUCUGGCAAAAGGAUGUGGAAGAAUCAAUUAGGCAAGGAAAUGCAAAGGAAGCUGCUCUACAGGUCUCAAACUGGGGUUUCAGCCUGUUGGACCUCAAGUUGCAGAAGAAAAAAUAGAGUGGAAGUGCUGAUUUGCUCAUUUGGCUGAAGUAAAUGUUCAUUAAAGUUCAAGAGGAAUACAUAGGUUUUCUUGGCCCAAUACAUAUAUGGCAAGACCAAUCUUGUAUCCAGAGGCUUAAGGUUUGUAUAGAUGAUUCCAAAACCUUGAGAUAAGCUGCUCACUAGAUCAAGAAAAGUUGAAGAGUUAAUUGAAUUAGCCCAACAAAAAAGCAUGGAGAUAGGUUUGGCGGUGGUUCCAUAAAUUAUGUGAAGAGAUGAGUCAUGACCCAUGAUCUGAUUGGUCAUUUAUAUAUCAAGUAAAUUUUUUGUACUUUUUGAUCAAUUGAACCAUGUUUAUUUGUAAGUAGUGCAGUUAAGUUUUAAUUUGAUUUAUAUAUUAUAUUUUUUUUCUAAGAUUGAGCAGUAUUACCCUGAGAAAGGAUUACACUAGAAAAGUUUUUUUUUCAACGGUGUUUUUCACUGGUCCUUUAUAUUAGAGGCGGUUUUGUGGUAAAUAUAAAGUGUU